UACGAAGGGGGGCUAGCGUUGCUCGGAAUGACUGGGCGUAAAGGGCGCGUAGGCGGUUCGUACAGUCAGGCGUGAAAUUCCCGGGCUUAACCUGGGGGCUGCGUUUGAUACGUGCGGGCUUGAGUUCGGAAGAGGGUCGUGGAAUUCCCAGUGUAGAGGUGAAAUUCGUAGAUAUUGGGAAGAACACCGGUGGCGAAGGCGGCCGACCUGGGUCC
rnacentral:rRNA from 1 species